rnacentral:tRNA from 1 species
GACACUAUGGCCGAGUGGUCUAAGGCGGUAGAUUAGAAAUCUACUCUCUUCGGAGGGCGUCGGUUCGAGUCCGACUGGUGUCG